UUGAAGGAAUCAUUAGCAUAAAAUGAUAUUGAGAGCUAUUGGGAUUGGGUAAGAUCCCUAGAAAGAGAUGAAAAGAUAGAACAAGACUGAAGCCGCUUAAGGAUUUGACACGGACAGAGUUGAAUCGGGGGGUUAACACAGUCAGGUUUGUGUUUUAGGAAGAUUUCUGACUUCCGGUGUCACUUAGAGGCAGGCAUGACUCGAAAGAGGAGACCAGAGAAGAGGCUGCUGUGAUACACGUUUUGGGAGAUGAUAGUAACUUUAUCCAGGAAAGUGUUAAAAGGGAUGGAGAUAACUAAAUAAACGGAUCAAGAGGUGAUUUUGAAUAGUGUGGACAAAACUUGAAGACUGAUUAGGGGUAUGAAAUGAGGAUAAGAUUAAGGUCAAGGGUUAUGCCUCUAAAUUUCUAGUUCAAAACCGGGCAGAUCAUGGUACCCUUUCACCAUCAUGAAAAAGUUUGGGGAACGGUAAAGACAGAUUGCUAAUUUUGACAUGCCUAGACAUUUCAAGCUAGGUGGUGAGUAAACAUUUGUACAUUCAUGUGUGGACUGCAGGAGAGAGCUGAAUCAUCACCCGUAAGCUGUCUCAAAGCUGUCGACGCAGCCAAGAUUAGCCAGGGAGAACAAGUUGAGUGAGAAAAAGGCCUAGGAUGAAAACCUAGGGAAUUUCCAAUAUGUCAGAGUCAAUAGAGGGAGAGGGAUUUGCAGAAGAGGCUGAAAAAGAGCAGCCGGCGAAGUAGGAGGAAAGCAAGGUAAAAGGGACGUCGUGUCCCCGGUUCCAGACAUUGGUCAUUUGACACGUCGUUUAUUCCUUGUCACAGUCCGGCAAGCAGGUAUGUCUCAUCUCCAUGUAACAGAAGGCCGCACUGAGACUCAGAAAGGUGAAAUGGCCUCGCCAAAGACUCUUAUCUAGAAAACAGAGCACGUGUGAAGGAAUUUAAGCAAACCCUGGGCUAUCUGGUUUCCAUCCUUUGGCCUUUAGUAAAAGGAAUGACGUGUGUGCGUGCGUGUGCGUGUGUGUGUGUGUGUGUUUACAUGUUUUUAUAUACACAAGACCAUCUCUGCAGGAUAUGUAGAAGCUGGUAAGAGUGGAGAGCGUUUGCCUUUGUGGGGGAAUGGAGGUUGCUGACUGGCCAGAUGGAGACUUCUGGGCUCUGUACUAGUGUAACAGAGAGUGGGUAAUGAAGAGUUUGACUUCGUUUUUAAUGCCCGACUGCUGACAGCUUCCAGGUCCCAUCACUGUCCCCCUUCUGGCUCACAUCUGGGCGGCUGAUACAGGACACCAGGUGCCCUCUCCCUUGGCUGCCACGGGAAGGUCCAACCAGGUAAGCCCCGGCCCUUGCCAAGCAGAACCCUCAGCCCGGCUCGGCCAUGGAAACGCCAAGCAGAUCCCCUUUCUCUGCUCUCUCAAGCCGUUUCUGGACCUGCUUCCAUCCUGCCCUCCUCAGAGGCUGCAUCGUAUGAUGUGUCUCAUGUCUUGUUAAAUUGCAAAAGACAAGAAACGGUGGGACAGAAUCUGACCCAACUGCGUACACAUGGGUGUUGCGAGAAGGCCUGACGCCGAAGGGGACACCUGCACUCCAUUUGUCCCCAUCGUUGGGCCGGAUCCACCAGUGUCACAUUGGAGGAGCACAAAAAUCAACAAACAGUUGUUUUCAGAGUAGAAAAAUCUUGUGGAGAAUGAAGACGCUCACAGUGGGUUUUACAUGAUAUUCCCACUGGCGGGAAGAAUCACAUUUUCCCAGAAGCCCCUGAGUCUGGAGCCUGGUGAGCCCUCCUGCCUUUGCUCCCCUGGAAACACCUGCAGUAGGAACCCAAGGAUUCCCGGCUCACCCGUGCGCGCCAAGGACGGAAGAUGUAACCACGACAGACUUCCAGUAUAAGGACAUUUCCUAAAGGGUCAAGUGUAACAGGCAGGAUGGAGAGACUUGCAUCUAAGAGCAUAAACAUCUCAGAGUGCGUGGAAGCUGAUGGAUGUUAAUCCAUGCAACUCCUAGAGGAAGCUGAAGAAGGCAAGGAGAUGGAUCCUCCUCCAGCGCCUGGGGAGCGGCGUGGAGGACUCAUCCCAGCCAGACAUCCGCAACCCAGUGACACCCACCUCAGACUUCUGCCCUAGAGAACUGGCGCUCCUCUGGCUGUUUUGGGCCCUCCCGGCCUCCGUCUUCCGGGCGGUCACGUGCCUCGGCUCACGUGACCUGCGCUUCCGUUGUUCCACUGCGGCUUCCUCCUGCCUGUGAGGCCCUUCACGUCCGCUCGGUGCCGAAUCAGGCUCGCUUUCUGGCGGUGCGUCCCCGCCGCCGCUCAGGCCUGCGGACUCGGCAGGAGACCCGACUCGGCGCCCCAGCACGCCGGCGGUCCCGACUCCGGACCGCCGCAUCUUCCCGCCGCCUCGGGGUCCGCAGAACAACAUUCAAGAUCAUAAAUUUAGACCAAGAUGGACAUCCGGGGUGCCGUGGAUGCAGCCGUUCCAACCAACAUCAUUGCUGCCAAGGCUGCAGAAGUUCGUGCCAACAAAGUGAACUGGCAGUCCUACCUUCAGGGGCAGAUGAUUUCUUCCGAAGACUGCGAAUUCAUUAAAAGAUUUGAAAAGAAAAGAAGUCCUGAGGAGAAGCAGGAGAUGCUUCAGACUGAAGGCAGUCAGUGUGCUAAGACAUUUAUAAAUCUGAUGACUCACAUCUCCAAAGAGCAGACGGUUCAGUACAUACUCACCAUGGUUGAUGACACGCUGCAGGAAAAUCACCAGCGCGUUAGCAUUUUCUUUGACUAUGCUAAACGUAGCAAGAACACUGCCUGGUCCUACUUUCUGCCCAUGUUGAAUCGCCAGGAUCUCUUUACUGUUCAUAUGGCAGCAAGAAUUAUUGCCAAGUUAGCAGCUUGGGGAAAAGAAUUGAUGGAAGGCAGUGACUUAAAUUACUAUUUCAAUUGGAUAAAGACUCAGCUGAGUUCACAGAAACUGCGUGGUAGCGGUGUUGCUGUUGAAACAGGAACAGUCUCUUCAAGCGAUUGCUUCACACCUGAACAUCCUCCCUGGCCCUUGCUGGAGGUUCCUACCUUCUCAGAAGGCUGGCAGCUUGGAAGGCAGAGACUUAAAGAAGUUGACAGAGAGAGCUCUCAGUACGUGCAGUGUGUGGCCGGGUGUCUGCAGCUGAUGCUCCGAGUCAACGAGUACCGCUUUGCCUGGGUGGAAGCAGACGGGGUGAACUGCAUCAUGGGAGUUCUGAGUAACAAGUGUGGCUUUCAGCUCCAGUAUCAGAUGAUUUUUUCUAUAUGGCUCCUGGCGUUCAGUCCUCAGAUGUGUGAACACCUGCGACGCUACAACAUCAUUCCUGUUCUGUCCGACAUCCUGCAAGAAUCUGUCAAAGAGAAAGUGACAAGAAUCAUUCUUGCAGCAUUCCGGAACUUCUUAGAAAAAUCAACUGAAAGAGAAACUCGCCAAGAGUAUGCUCUGGCUAUGAUUCAGUGCAAAGUUCUGAAACAGUUAGAGAACUUGGAACAGCAGAAGUAUGAUGACGAAGAUAUCAGUGAAGAUAUAAAAUUUCUCUUGGAAAAACUUGGUGAGAGUGUCCAGGAUCUUAGCUCAUUUGAUGAAUAUAGUUCAGAACUUAAAUCUGGAAGAUUGGAAUGGAGUCCUGUGCACAAAUCUGAGAAAUUUUGGAGAGAAAAUGCUGUGAGGUUAAAUGAGAAGAAUUAUGAGCUCUUGAAGAUUUUGACCAAACUUCUGGAGGUGUCCGAUGACCCACAAGUCUUAGCUGUUGCUGCCCAUGACGUCGGCGAGUACGUUCGGCAUUACCCGCGAGGCAAGCGUUCGGAGUUGGGCCUUUCUGCUAACAGCUUGCAUUUGAAAGUAACUGCAGCGUCUUCACCACGUGGCUUCUGGCCCCCAGGGUCAUCGAGCAGCUCGGCGGGAAGCAGCUGGUGAUGAACCACAUGCACCACGAGGACCAGCAGGUGCGCUACAACGCCCUCCUGGCCGUGCAGAAGCUCAUGGUGCACAACUGGGAAUAUCUUGGUAAACAGCUCCAGUCUGAGCAACCGCAGACCGCAGCUGCCCGGAGCUGAACGGGCGCUCAGCCGCGGGGUCUCCAGCGCCCCUUCGCCUGGGGCAGAAGACCUGGAGUGUGAGUCUCAGUGAUUAGAACAAACAAUUUCUCAUUUUACGUGUCAUUUUCUUCUGUUGUGUAGCUUUCCCCAGUGCUGAUUUCAACACGAGUGUUUGCCCGUUACUUUGUAUUAAAGUAGGUGCUCUCUGUAUCUAAGGAAAACAUUACUGUUACAUAUACUGCUUGUAAUUUCUGUAUUUAUUAUUCUCUGGGAAUGAAUAUAGAAUUAUUAAAGGAUUCUCACUCCAAAUAUGUUUUUGUCUUUCCUUGUUCCUGACUUGGCCUUUAACACAAAUACCUCUUGUCCCAACCAAAUUGGGAGAAUUGUAUUUGCAAAAUAGUGAAUGGUAAAUAAAUGUUUUGAAAUUA